rnacentral:rRNA from 1 species
UAACGCGUGAGGAACCUGCUUUCCAGAGGGGGUACAACAGGUUGAAACGACUGCUAAUACCGCAUGACACAAUUUGAAUCGCAUGGUUUGAAUGUCAAAGAUUUAUCGCUGGAAGAUGGCCUCGCGUCUGAUUAGCUAGUUGGCAGGGUAACGGCCUACCAAGGCGACGAUCAGUAGCCGGACUGAGAGGUUGACCGGCCACAUUGGGACUGAGAUACGGCCCAGACUCCUACGGGAGGCAGCAG